rnacentral:snRNA from 1 species
AUUCACCCUAUAAUUUUGUGUG